GAUGUACUCCCUCUGUCCGGAAAUACUUGUCAUCAAAAUAGAUAAAAAAGAUAUAUUUAGAACUAAAAUACAUUUAGAUACAUCCCCUUUUAUUCAUCUUAAUGACAAGUAUUUUCGGAUGAAGGAAGUACGUA
rnacentral:pre_miRNA from 1 species